AGAACAAAUUGGAACGGAACAGUUUCCAAACAGUGAAGGAGGUUUUUCCAAACUCAAACCUAACUGAACAUUAGGAUGAAUUGGCAUUAGGCGAACACAGUCAGUUAUUCAGUCUACCACCUGACAGUGUGUUAAAUUUAAAUUCUGUUAGUGCUGCACAAAAAGAAUCAUUAGUAAUAAGCCCAUGCAGUGAAGGAAGUGAACAAUUGUGGGACCGUAUUUGGGCCGAAAAUGGGUGUGGUACGGAAACCAAGAUAUGGCACAAGUUCAACAUGAAACAUGGAUUAGAAUUUAAUGGGGGAUCAAAUCAAGUCUGGAAGUGUUACAGGAUGGAAGAGUCAGCCUACAGAUGAAAAAACACUGAGAGUGCAUUACCAUUAAGGUAUGAGGUAAAGUAAUAGAGUAUGCACAUUGUCUAAUGAGAAGUACCAUCUUGUGUUAAUAAAUCCAGUACAACAGCAAUCCUUUAUAGUUCUGUCACAGCUAGAAACCUCAAAUAAUUCUGCUUCUCUGUCUAAAGAACAACUUGUCCUUUACGUUCAGAGUGUUGGGGAAACUGGGUACUUAAAUGGCCCUAAAGAUGUUUUAAUUUUGCUGCCAUUGCAGAGAUGAACAUCAUACAUGGACUCUUUAGGUCUAAUCUACCAAAAAAAAAUUUAUCCAAUAGGAAAGGAUUUUCAUGUACUGGGAACACAACUAUCAACAAUGCAACAUUGUACAGGUGCUAGUUUAUCAUUCAAGAGCCUUAUACAAUGAUGUUAAUCUGCAAUUUGUAUGUCCUUCCCCAAGCUUCCACCAGAAGUUGAAUCUAUGAGUCAUGUAAGUUACAUGAUCAACAGUUGAUAUGUUUAACGGUGUUGUUUUUCUUUUCUCAAUAUAGGUUAAUAGUAACAUUGGAUCUGAAAAAAAUUCUUGGUUGGGGCAAGACACUGAAUAAAUUGUAUUGAUUGGAUGGAUGACAUGACAUUUCUAUACUUAAUUCGGAUUCCCCAGACGGUAUUUGAUAUUAAAAAAAUUGAAGUGCAUAUCUGGGCUCCCUUCUUUUCUGAAGCCCCGUUUCCCCUUGACUCGUAAUAAGCCCGUAGGGGGUCAUGCCCCUACUGUACGGUAUAUAUAAAAACAACAUAUACCGAGGUUUGGAGGGCUCUGGCCGGAAA